ensembl:snRNA U6 U6 spliceosomal RNA
GUGCUUGCUUCAGCAGCACAUAUGCAAAACUGGAAUGAUACAGAGAAGAUUAGCAUUGGUCCUGUGCAAGGAUGACAUGCAAAUUCGUGAAGCAUUCCAUGUUUUU